rnacentral:rRNA from 1 species
CCUACGGGCGGCAGCAGUAGGGAAUCUUUCACAAUGGGCGAAAGCCUGAUGGAGCAACGCCGCGUGCAGGAUGAAGGCCUUCGGGUUGUAAACUGCUUUUAUAUGCGAGAAAUAUGAUGGUAACUUAUGAAUAAGGAUCGGCUAACUACGUGCCAGCAGCCGCGGUCAUACGUAGGAUCCGAGCAUUAUCCGGAGUGACUGGGUGUAAAGAGUUGCGUAGGUGGCAUAAUAAGUAGCUAGUGAAAUCUGGUGGCUCAACCAUUCAGACUAUUAGCUAAACUGUUAAGCUCGAGACCGUUAGGGGUAACUGGAAUUUCUAGUGUAGGAGUGAAAUCCGUAGAUAUUAGAUGGAACACCAAUAGCGUAGGCAGGUUGCUGGGACGGUUCUGACACUAAGGCACGAAAGCGUAGGGAGCAAACGGGAUUAGAUACCCCAGUAGUC